rnacentral:rRNA from 1 species
UACGGGGGGAGCAAGCGUUGUUCGGAUUUACUGGGCGUAAAGGGCGCGUAGGCGGCCAGCACAAGUCAGUUGUGAAAUCUCCGGGCUUAACUCGGAAAGGUCAACUGAUACUGUGCGGCUAGAGUGCAGAAGGGGCAACUGGAAUUCUCGGGUGUAGCGGUGAAAUGCGUAGAUAUCGAGAGGAACACCUGCGGCGAAGGCGGGUUGCUGGGCUGACACUGACGCUGAUGCGCGAAAGCCAGGGGAGCGAACGGG